UUGAUAGUCCUGGAGGCUGAAGUCCUGUAUCCAUAGAGCAGGUACAGCAUGGGCACCAGCAAUGCAGCCUUUCCCAUACUACUACUCCAAUGUGCCUUAAUCCUAACCUGGAAUGACAAACUCCAGAGUCAGAGGACAUUUCAUUCACCUACCCAUUCAGUCCUUGGUGCCU
ensembl:misc_RNA